rnacentral:rRNA from 1 species
CCUACGGGUGGCAGCAGUGAGGAAUAUUGGUCAAUGGACGAGAGUCUGAACCAGCCAAGUAGCGUGAAGGAUGACUGCCCUAUGGGUUGUAAACUUCUUUUAUAUGGGAAUAAAAUGUUCCACGUGUGGGAUUUUGUAUGUACCAUAUGAAUAAGGAUCGGCUAACUCCGUGCCAGCAGCCGCGGUAAUACGGAGGAUCCGAGCGUUAUCCGGAUUUAUUGGGUUUAAAGGGAGCGUAGGUGGAUUGUUAAGUCAGUUGUGAAAGUUUGCGGCUCAACCGUAAAAUUGCAGUUGAAACUGGCAGUCGUGAGUACAGUAGAGGUGUGCGGAAUGCGUGGUGUAGCGGUGAAAUGCUUAGAUAUCACGAAGAACUCCGAGUGCGAAGGCAGCUCACUGGACUGCAACUGACACUGAGGCUCGAAAGUGUGGGUAUCAAACAGGAUUAGAUACCCCUGUAGUC